GAUGAACGCUGGCGGCGUGCCUAAUACAUGCAAGUCGAGCGAACAGACGAGGAGCUUGCUCCUCUGACGUUAGCGGCGGACGGGUGCGUAACACGUGGAUAACCUACCUAUAAGACUGGGAUAACUUCGGGAAACCGGAGCUAAUACCGGAUAAUAUAUUGAACCGCAUGGUUCAAUAGUGAAAGACGGUAUUUCUAUUGCUUAUAGAUGGGUCCGCGUCGGAUUAGUUAGUUGGUAGGGUAAAGGCUUACCAAGGCGACGACUCGUACCCGGCCUGAGAGGCUGAUCAGCGACACUGGGACUGAGACACGGCCCAGACUCCUACGGGAGGCAGCAGUGGGGAAUGUUGGACCGUGGGCGAAAGCCUGAUCCUGCAAUGCCGCGUGAGUGAUGAAGGCCUUAGGGUUGAAAAGUUCUUUUACCCGGGAUGAUAAUGACAGUACCGAGAGAAUAAGCCCCGACUAACUCCGUG
rnacentral:rRNA from 1 species